UGGGAGAGAGUAAUAUUAUUUACAUGGGACUGUAUGUUGAUGGCGGCUGUGGCAGGAAGUGAUGUUAUUUACAAAGGACUGUAUGUUGAUGGCUGCUGUGGGAGGGAGUAUAGUGGAGACAAAAUAGUGUUUUUUACAUCGGACUGUAUAUUGGCGGGGCUGAAGGGAGGGGAGUGAUGUUAUUUACAUGGGACUGUAUUUUGGAGGGGGCAGAAGAGAUGGUGUGAUGUUAUUUACAUGGGACUGUAUAGUGGAGGUAGGAAUAUAACUACAAAUUAUAAAUACUGGGAACAAUUUAGGGCGAGCAUUAUAACAGUAAAGGCAGUAUAAAUGCUGUGGGUACUGUAGGAGCAUUUUAAAUCCAGGGGACAUUAGGUGUUCUUAUUACUACUAAGAGCACUAUUGGGGCCUUAUUACUACUGAGAUGUCUGUAAAGAGCGUUAUUACUACUGGGGGAACAAUAGGGAGGCCUUAUUUCUACUGGGGGCUCUGUGCGGACAUUAAUAAUUACUGAAGGGCUCUUCUACUAAUGGAGGCACUGUAGGGGGCAGUAUUACUAAUGAGGGCAUUCUAGAAGGGAAUUACUAUUGGAGGGACUUGGAUGGGCACCAUUACUAUGGGGGGGAGACUAUCUGUAUGGCACUAAUAUUUAUUUCAGGAUAGUAUUUUGAGGUAUUGGGGAGCACAGCAAGCAGCAGGAUAACACUGUGGAAACUCCAGGUUGGGGGAUGAUGAUAGAAAUGUGAGGACGCUAAUAUGUCUGUGUGUCACACUCUGCAGAGACGAGAAAUGGCUGAAGAAGUUGUCAGGAUCGAAUGGACGAAGAUGAUGACAGAGAAGAUCUACAUCAGAGGAGACAUCACCUGGGAGGCCCUGGAUGUGAGAGUGUUAGACCACUGAUUGGCUAAAGGGGUGACAUGACACGAAUCUGCAUGUCCCUGAUGCAGUUUUUAAACAAGCAGCAACAGGAGGACCAGACUGGCUAUGCAGAGAAUGGUGCUGCAGAAAGGGGU